rnacentral:lncRNA from 1 species
UGACGAUGCAGCGACCGCGGCUGGCGGAGAUUGAGCAACGGGGAAAGGCGGGAGGCACCUCCCCUCUUCCGGAUCCAGCACCCGCAGACCUGGUCAGCCCUUCCUGAGAUCUGCCCUGUGGAGCUCUGCUUUGGGGACUGGGUGUGAGGUGAACCAGAAGGAUUUGCUGAGCACCGAGAAAGCACCGGCCUAGGCGCAAAGAGCCGGGGGCCAGCUCUUGGAGGGCCUGGAGACCCCACGUGGUCCCGACCGAAGGACCUGUGGACAUCCAAAGGUGAUACAGCUGGAAAAAGGAUCUUCAUCCAAGACAAAGAGAAACAAAGUCGAUAGGAAAGUGAUGAAAGGCAUCAAGCAAAGUGAAGAUGCAAAUGAGAAAACAAGAUCAGAAGACAGGAAUAUCUGAAACAAGUCACAAAUGCAUAGUAUGACCUCUCAGGUAAGGACCAGGGCUGGAUCAUCCCAGGAUGUUCAAGGCAUACUCUCAGGGGGCGCUGUGUUAUACUGAGAUCUUGCUAGGCAAAAACAUGGUUUUUGUCUUUUCUGUUGAAAAGGUACCUUUUGGGAGGCCAGGCGCGGUGGCU